CUGUUGUCACAACGGCUUCCUGAAGUGACAUCGCAUAUCUAUUGGAGCA
rfam:Pseudopelagicola gijangensis strain DSM 100564 genome assembly, contig: Ga0131178_107